UGCCCUGUGGUGUAAUGGUAACACAGAAGUCUCUGACACUUUUGUUUCGGGUUCAAGUCCUGACGGGGCAA
rnacentral:tRNA from 1 species